GACAGAGGUGCCGAGCGUUAGGCGGAAUCACUGGGCUUAAAGCGUGUGUAGGCGGAUCUGUAAGUACCUUGUGAAAUCCCACGGCUCAACCGUGGAACUGCUUGGUAUACUGCGGGUCUUGAGCCACCUAGGGGCAAGUGGAACAAACGGUGGAGCGGUGAAAUGCGUAGAUAUCGUUUGGAACGCCAAUGGUGAAAACAACUUGCUGGGGGUGUGCUGACGCUGAGACACGAAAAGCCAGGGGAGCAAAACGGG
rnacentral:rRNA from 1 species